UACGUAGGGGGCGAGCGUUUGUCCGGAGUUACUGGGCGUAAAGCGCACGCAGGCGGUGCGGCACGUUUUGGGGUUACAGCUCCCGGCUCAACUGGGAGAGCGCCUCGAAGGCGGCGGCACUUUGAGGGCCAGAGAGGGACACGGAACUCCGGGUGGAGUGGUGAAAUGCGUAGAUAUCCGGAAGAACACCAAAGGCGAAGGCAGUGUCCUGGCUGGUUCCUGACGCUAAGGUGCGAAAGCUAGGGAGCGAACGGG
rnacentral:rRNA from 1 species